rnacentral:rRNA from 1 species
AUGGACUGGGAUCUCAAGAUGCCGCCCGGCGCAUGGGACCUCGCCGAGCUGGAGGGCGACGCGCCGGCGGCGGGCGGGCAGGCGUCGGCCGGUGGCAUUGCUAAUGCGGCCGGCCGGCAGGAGUGCUCCGUGGACCUGAAGCUCGGCGGGCUCGGCGAGUGCGGCGCUGCUCCGGACAGCCGCGGCCUCGGCAAGGCGCCGGCCGAGGCGCCGUCCUCGGCGCCCAGCGCGGCGAAGCGGCCGCGCGCGUCGUCGGGAGGGGGAGGCGGGAGCGGGAGCGGCGCGGGGCAGCAGCAGUGCCCGUCGUGCGCGGUGGACGGGUGCAGGGCGGACCUGAGCAGGUGCCGCGACUACCAUCGCCGGCACAAGGUGUGCGAGGCGCACUCCAAGACCCCCGUCGUCACCGUCGCCGGCCGCGAGAUGCGCUUCUGCCAACAGUGCAGCAGGUUUCACCUGCUUACGGAGUUUGAUGAGACCAAACGCAGCUGUAGAAAGCGUCUUGAUGGGCACAACCGUCGCCGCAGGAAACCGCAGCCAGAUGUGAUGAAUUCUGCAAGUUUUAUGACGAGCCAACAAGGAACAAGGUUUUCAUCAUUUCCAACUCCAAGACCGGAGCAAAACUGGCAAGGGAUCAUUAAAACCGAGGAGAACCCCUAUUACGCACAUCAACUCCCUCUGGGCAUCAGCAGCAGGCAGCAUUUUGGUGGAUCUGCGUCGACUUACGCCAAAGAAGGACGGCGGUUUCCUUUCCUGCAGGAAGGCGAGAUAAACUUUGCCACCGGUGUGGCACUUGAGCCUUCAGUGUGCCAGCCGCUCCUCAAGACGGUAGCUCCUCCCGAGAGCAGCAGCAGCAGCAGCAAGAUGUUCUCUGAUGGGCUGACUCCGGUGCUCGACUCGGACUGUGCUCUCUCUCUUCUGUCAGCUCCGGCAAACUCCUCCGGUAUCGAUGUUGGCCAGAUGGUCCAGCAGACUGAACACAUCCCCAUUGCCCAGCCUCUGUUCUCCAACCUGCAGUUCAGCAGCUCGUCCUGGUUCUCGCGCACCCAGGCUUCCACCGGCACCGUCUCAGCGACCGGAUUUUCCUGCCCCGCGGUGGAGAAUGAGCAACUGAACAAUGUGCUAAGCUCGGACAACAAUGACUUGAACUACAAUGGGAUAUUUCAUGUCGGCGGUGAAGGCUCGUCGGACGGCGCCCCGCCAUCUCUGCCCUUCCCGUGGCAGUAG